rnacentral:rRNA from 1 species
GUCGUCCUGGUGUACUGGGCGUAACGGGUGCGUAGGCGGUCUUUCCAGUCAGGAGUGAAAGGCUACGGCGCAACCGUAGGAAGCUCUUGAAACUGGGCGACUUGAGGGCAGAGGAGGAGAUUGAAAUGUCGCGGGUAGCGGUGAAAUGCGGAGAUAUUAGGAGGAACACCAGUUGCGAAGGCGGCUCUCUGGACUGUAACGGACGCUGAGGCACGAAAGCGUGGGGAGCAACCAGGAUUAGAUACCCUGGUAGUCCACGCUGUAAACGAUGAGUACUAGGGGUCGGGGGUUACCCCCUUCGGUUCCGCAGCUAACGCAUUAAGUACUCCGCCUGGGCAGUACGCUCGCAAGAGUGAAACUCAAAGGAAUUGACGUGGACCCGCACAAGUAGCGGAGCAGGUGGUUUAAUUCGAAGCAACGCGACGAACCUUACCUAAGCUUGCCAUCCCAAUGACAUCUCCUUAACCG